GCAGGAUGUGAAAAGUAAAAAAGGACCAGCCCCCAAAACUAUCUCAUAGAGUCUAUCAAAUAGUUCAAAAUCACUGAACAUCAGAAGUAUACUCAGAGAAUGUCAAGAGAAAUAUUUCAAGAGUUGGGGGGGAGAGAGAGAGAAAAAAUGAAACUCGAAUUAAGCCACUGUCCUAGUUAUGAAUGGGACCGGGUUCAAGUCAAACAAAAACCAAACAAUAUAUAGCCUUGGACCAAACCAACCAGUAGGUAAAGGGAGAGUAUCUAGGGAUGAAAAACUAUUUCCGAAAAAAAAAAGAGUGUGUGUGUUUGCGUCAAGUGUGUUUCAAGUUCAGUAUGAAAGUGUAUGUCUUCUUUUUUUUUAAAUUUUGGAGCAAAAUGUUCUCAUUAAAGUGUACCAUGUUUGGUUAAAAUGUUCCCAUUAAAGUGUACCAUGUUUGGUUAAAAUGUUCCCAUUAAAGUGUACCAUGUUUGGUUAAAAUGUUCCCAUUAAAGUGUACCAUGUUUGGUUAAAAUGUUCCCAUUAAAGUGUACCAUGUUUGGUUAAAAGAGAAACAAAGGGAUGCCACUCUUGUAUAAACGUGUAAUUGAGUUACUUUUGAGGUAAAAAAUGUUUUUUUGAAAUAACAAAAAUAUUGAGACUAAGAACACAGUGCAUUGACAUUCUUGAGAAUCAGCGUGUCCGGCGAUUACAUAUCAUGUUUAAAUUAAAUCCCUUUGUCAAGGGAAAGUCCAAAUCAGCGGAAGAUAUUCAAAUUAUCAUUCACUUGGCUGAGGAUGAAAUCAAAGAUGACCGGCUUCCCACUAUUCCAAUGAAGUCAUGUCAAUCUCCACCGAGGAAGAGUCUUCAAGAAAGUUGAUGGACAGACCAAACGAGACAGCAGUCUCGGCUAAUUCAUGGACGUCAAGUUGAAGCUCCUGUUCGGUGUGUGCAAGAAGGGCGCAAUCUUCCGCAUAGAGCAGCUCAGUAGCAAUCAUCUCCUUAUGUACAGGAGACCAGACGCCAUAUGUUAAAUAUGCUGCAAUCCGUGCGGAACUUGAUGCUCUCAUUGAGCUGAUAGACCAUCAUUGUAUCUGAUUUGACUUUUUUUUUACUCUCAUGCAGUUGCUUCAGAAUAGCGACGAAUCUUGGAGGAUAUUUGAACCGAGACAGAAUCCUCCUGUGUCUUGUUUGGGUCUCUUGAUUCAAAAUGCAGUUUUGAAGGACCUGUUCGGCAUACUCUGGUGACACGCCACAAGGGCUAAUUUCACUAGUCCCAAUUUUUAGCUUCGGAACAUGUGUUGUCUCGUUCAGAGUUGCUGCCCAUCGAGCGCCUCCCCAGGUGGCGGGUACGGGAAUACCCUCUAGAUAUGCUGGGUACCAAAGAAAUAUAAUAGUAAAAAAUCAAACCUUUUUUUACUUGCAGGAAUUGGGUGGAUCCAAAAAAGAUAGGACACACUACCC
rnacentral:sRNA from 1 species